AUAGUUUUGGUGUAAAUUUUGUGUGUUUUGGAGUCUAUAUGAAGGAGAUAUGGGCACUCAAAGUUAAGGUAUUGAUUUUGUAUAUAUUGUCACUCUUUUGGACAUAAAGCAUGUGUACAAAAAGCAAUAAAGGAUCGGCGACUGGAAUUGAAGAGAAAUUUUUUUGGCUAUACAUUUGGCAUACUGUUUGAUAGAUUUUAAGUUUAAAAUGAAGGAGAUAUUGGAAGUUGAAGUUAGUGCUUCAAAUCUA
rnacentral:lncRNA from 1 species